rnacentral:lncRNA from 1 species
CUUUGACCUUUGCCUGCUAUUCUGGGCUAAACUAGCACUGCUUCUGCUUCUAUGCACACUGGAGGAACUUGAUCCUCCUUGGCCACCUUUCUUCAGUGUUCUUCUUUUGGGGGUCCGGCUGCUGUUUCCAAGUGCAGCUUUGGCAACACUAUCAGUGAGCAUCUCUCGUGCCCUUUGAGGCUUGAUGGAUUGCUUGUUCAGGUACACUAGCUUUGGCAGAAGAUCACAAACUGCUUUGCGCAACUGCUCAUCACUGAUGUUGCUUUGAAUUGGAUUUCCGAGCAGAUUCAAGGCCAGAACUGAGUUGUAGUUAGCUACAAGCUGGCGCAGUGCUUUUGUUGUCGUGAUCUUGUUAAAGCUCAAGUCCAGAACUGUUAGCUUGAAUAACCUGUGUAGGCCCUCAACAUCACUUAUCUUGUUUCCCGCAAGAUAUAGCUCUUUGACCAGUGUACAACUUGAUAGCCCUGAUAAAACAGAGUAAAUAAUUUUGUAGUAAAUACUCUGAAGAAUAAGAUUCGAGAAGUAAAAAACCUUCAUUGAGCAUCAUCAGCUGGUAUAGAAACUAACCUUGUCCAAUUCUUGAAAUGCGGUUAUAACUUAGGUCAAGUACCCGCAAUCGGGUUAAUUCUCGGAGGCCCUCAAUAGUGCUGAUCUUGUUUCUUGACAAAUUAAGUGUAUGAAGACCCUUUGGGAGAAAUCCAGGUGUGAUAUGAACUGCAAAACAAUGAAGAGGAAAGCCAAUCAAUCGAGUUAGUAUUUUUCAUUUAUUUGUAAUCGUAUUAAAGAUUAUUUUCUUCUCUCAAAUGAGUUAUACCUAUGAAAUUGUUUGACAGAUUCACUGAGCGAAGACUGCAGAAGUGUGUAAUUGCGGGGAUGACUUUCAUACCAAUACCAGAUAUAUGAGCUGCAGUUGAGGCUGGAUUCAGAGAUUGCACCACGCUAUUGGCAUACAAAAGAUCCUUUGAAAGAUUGGCAUCUUGAUUUUGAGGUAACCGAGUUGUGGUUCUUGCCAUUGAUCUAUCAGCAUCCGGAGAAGGUGGCAAGACAGUGGUUCCAAUAUUGUCAUCAGCAAAAUCAUCCUCUGAAGGUGGCUGCUGAUUUUCAAGAUCUUUCACCCACUCAUCUACUCUGUUAAAGGAGGAUGAUUCUGUUGAGAAAGCUACCCAUUGAUUUUGUGUCCGAAAAUCAAAGUUAUUUUCUUUGUGAAAUCUGCUCCACCUUUGAUUAUCCAUAUUUUUAUCCUUGCCGCUUUUGCUGAAGUACUCCCCUGAAGAUGAUGCAUGAGAGGGUGAUCCCAUAUGUCUCAAUGUCUUACCUUGUUUUGGUUCCAGGAUAUCUGAAGAGUACCCGCAUUGACUAUUAAAAACAGCACUUGCAGGAUGUAAUUGUGUUGAUUUGCUGACCCAAGGUUGAUGAAUAUUCCUGUGGCUCCAGAGGAACAACUUCCACCACAAUUUUUUACUUCCAGAAGGGAGAACUUGACUAGACGAACGCCUUUUCAACAUCACUCUAUCAGCACUGCGCUGAGUCAUCACAGACCUGGGGCUCUCUAGAUUAACCAUCUGAUUUGCUGAUAAUUCCUGCAAAUCCUCAAAAGAAUGUGACUUUGAAGAUGGAAAGUGAUGAACAGUCUUCCUAGAUAUAUCCCUUCUUUCCAGGUUAGAGCAAGAUCGCUUGAGCUCUGGAGAAGCCCAGAAGUCAGGCUUGCCCAUCCCAGGAUCACUGACAUGCCCACUUUGGAUCAAAUCAACACUGUUUUUGUCGUAUUUAUCAUCUUCGUCUUCCAAUUGAAUGUUGGUUUGUUUUUUAUAUAAACUGGGGGAGUUGAUCUCUUUACCUGCUGGGUCAUAUCCUACUUUGCAUGCAACAGCUUCAUGAACUUGGAGAUCAAAAUCAGAGAACUCUCUCUUGAUGGAUGGUGAAUCUUCAUGUUCAUCUUCCCCUUCAUAAGCUUCCUCUACUUCAGUCUUCAUAGGGAUCUCGGGACUCAGAACUUUCACAUUGGACCUUGAAUUCAUCUGGGUACCACCGGUUGUAACAUCAUGGGUGUCAUCUGGCUUUAUAUCACGACUCUUCGAAGAUAUUGUUGGGUGUUGUACUUUGGCAUGUAACUUUUUGAGGUCCCCUUUUGAAGAUCCUUCAAUGCCCUGAAAAGACCAAAGCAAGUAAAUUAUAUGGUUUAUGUCAACCUUGAAUAGACAAAAUCAGACGCAAUAUCCGAAUAUAUUAUUUUUACCUUGAUUUUAUCCUUCCUUCCAAUCAAAACAGAGACACAUCUACACAUAGCCAUGGCAGAAGAUGAAUAAGCUUGUUAUCAAUCCUUUUAUAUUCAAUCUUUCAAACCUUGUGAUCGUUUAUAUACACAAUAUUAUUGCCUUACAUCACUACUCCAUGAUGAUUUAACAAUAACAGAGAUUGUCUGAGAGUAUAUAUUAUUACAUUGCAAAAGAGUGAAUCAAAAGAAGUUAGCCAUAAUCAGUGAGAAGGAGCCGGACAAGAAAUAGGAGUCUGUCCAAACAAAAUUUUGGACCAGAAUGACAAGCACCAACACCUGCUGAAGUUGGUGGUGGAGAUAUAGCUAGAGAGUUGGCCAGAGUAAUAUAUACUGAUGCCUCAACUCUUCAAAGUUUCAUGAUAAAUAUUUGUUUCUUGAAAUAGACCUACACAAUGGAAAACCAACCAAUGGUUCAGAUAUACAACAAAUCUAAAAGUUCCAUGAUGAAUAUUUGUUUCUUAAAAUAGAC